CCGACGGCGCUAUCAUGCAGUCGAGCGGACAGAUGGGAGCUUGCUCCCUGAAGUCAGCGGCGGACGGGUGAGUAACACGUGGGCAACCUGCCUGUAAGACUGGGAUAACUUCGGGAAACCGGAGCUAAUACCGGAUAACACCGAGGACCUCAUGGUCCUUGGUUGAAAGAUGGCUUCGGCUAUCACUUACAGAUGGGCCCGCGGCGCAUUAGCUAGUUGGUGAGGUAACGGCUCACCAAGGCGACGAUGCGUAGCCGACCUGAGAGGGUGAUCGGCCACACUGGGACUGAGACACGGCCCAGACUCCUACGGGAGGCAGCAGUAGGGAAUCUUCCGCAAUGGACGAAAGUCUGACGGAGCAACGCCGCGUGAGCGAUGAAGGCCUUCGGGUCGUAAAGCUCUGUUGUUAGGGAAGAACAAGUACCGUUCGAAUAGGGCGGUACCUUGACGGUACCUAACCAGAAAGCCACGGCUAACUACGUGCCAGCAGCCGCGGUAAUACGUAGGUGGCAAGCGUUGUCCGGAAUUAUUGGGCGUAAAGCGCGCGCAGGCGGUUCCUUAAGUCUGAUGUGAAAGCCCACGGCUCAACCGUGGAGGGUCAUUGGAAACUGGGGAACUUGAGUGCAGAAGAGGAAAGCGGAAUUCCACGUGUAGCGGUGAAAUGCGUAGAGAUGUGGAGGAACACCAGUGGCGAAAGGCGGCUUUCUGGUCUGUAACUGACGCUGAGGCGCGAAAGCGUGGGGAGCAAACAGGAUUAGAUACCCUGGUAGUCCACGCCGUAAACGAUGAGUGCUAAGGUGGUUAGGGGGUUUCCGCCCCCUUAGUGCUG
rnacentral:rRNA from 1 species